UCCGGUUUGUCACCGGCAGUCUCAUUAGAGUGCCCUUGCGUAGCAACUAAUGAUAAGGGUUGCGCUCGUUGCGGGACUUAACCCAACAUCUCACGACACGAGCUGACGACGGCCAUGCAGCACCUGUGUCUAGGUUCUCUUUCAGGCACCCCCGCCUCUCGGCAGGCUUCCGGACAUGUCAAGGGUAGGUAAGGUUGUUCGCGUUGCAUCGAAUUAAUCCACAUCAUCCACCGCUUGUGCGGGUCCCCGUCAAUUCCUUUGAGUUUUAAUCUUGCGACCGUACUCCCCAGGCGGAUCACUUCACGCGUUAGCUUCGGUACUAGGAGAUCGCUCCCCCAACACCCAGUGAUCAUCGUUUAGGGCGUGGACUAC
rnacentral:misc_RNA from 1 species